GUGCUCACUUCCGCAGCACAUAUACUAAAACUGGAACAACAUAGAGAAGAUUAGCAUGGCUCCUGCCCAAAAAUGGCAUGCAAAUUCAUGAAGCUUUCCGUUAGUUU